rnacentral:rRNA from 1 species
GAUGAACGCUGGCGGCGUGCCUAAUACAUGCAAGUCGAGCGAACGGACGAGAAGCUUGCUUUUCUGAUGUUAGCGGCGGACGGGUGAGUAAAACGUGGAUAACCUACCUAUAAGACUGGGAUAACUUCGGGAAACCGGAGCUAAUACCGGAUAAUAUUUUGAACCGCAUGGUUCAAAAGUGAAAGACGGUCUUGCUGUCACUUAUAGAUGAAUCCGCGCUGCAUUAGCUAGUUGGUAAGGUAACGGCUUACCAAGGCAACGAUGCAUAGCCGACCUGAGAGGGUGAUCGGCCACACUGGAACUGAGACACGGUCCAGACUCCUACGGGAGGCAGCAGUAGGGAAUCUUCCGCAAUGGGCGAAAGCCUGACGGAGCAACGCCGCGUGAGUGAUGAAGGUCUUCGGAUCGUAAAACUCUGUUAUUAGGGAAGAACAUAUGUGUAAGUAACUGUGCACAUCUUGACGGUACCUAAUCAGAAAGCCACGGCUAACUACGUG